UGGGGAAUAUUGCACAAUGGGCGCAAGCCUGAUGCAGCCAUGCCGCGUGUAUGAAGAAGGCCUUCGGGUUGUAAAGUACUUUCAGCGGGGAGGAAGGGAGUAAAGUUAAUACCUUUGCUCAUUGACGUUACCCGCAGAAGAAGCACCGGCUAACUCCGUGCCAGCAGCCGCGGUAAUACGGAGGGUGCAAGCGUUAAUCGGAAUUACUGGGCGUAAAGCGCACGCAGGCGGUUUGUUAAGUCAGAUGUGAAAUCCCCGGGCUCAACCUGGGAACUGCGUCUGAUACUGGCAAGCUUGAGUCUCGUAGAGGGGGGUAGAAUUCCAGGUGUAGCGGUGAAAUGCGUAGAGAUCUGGAGGAAUACCGGUGGCGAAGGCGGCCCCCUGGACGAAGACUGACGCUCAGGUGCGAAAGCGUGGGGAGCAAACA
rnacentral:rRNA from 1 species